CACGUAGGGUGCGAGCGUUGUCCGGAAUUACUGGGCGUAAAGCGCGUGUAGGCGGCUUCGUAAGUCGGGUGUGAAAGCCCUGGGCUCAACCCAGGAAGUGCACUCGAUACUACGGAGCUGGAGUCUCGGAGAGGAUAGCGGAAUUCUCGGUGUAGAGGUGAAAUUCGUAGAUAUCGAGAGGAACACCGGUGGCGAAGGCGGCUAUCUGGACGGUGACUGACGCUGAGACGCGAAAGCGUGGGGAGCAAACAGG
rnacentral:rRNA from 1 species